rnacentral:piRNA from 1 species
CCAUUUAUAAUUUAAGGGGAUCUGAUGGC